GUUGUACUGCAACGUUGGUGACUGCCAUCAAGUUUUUUGAUCUAUGUCUUUAAGAAUAAGGGAACCAAGGAAUUUUCGCGGCAGUAAACCGAGCUUGUACUCGGAAACUUUAAGCGAAAAAAAACGGAUCCCCCCUGGUUUAUCCAGGUCAAAAACUUAGGUAAAACGGCGUUGCGGUCAAAUU
rnacentral:other from 1 species